CAGGGCCUCUGGGAGUGGCUGCCAGGCCUGCACUAUGUACUGCUAAGUCAAUUUGUGGAUUUAAGUAGCAGGUCAAUUCUAUCAAAUGCUGCUGGGUCACUGAAUAAAUUGAGGACAAUGGCAACAGGAAAGCUACCUCUGACCUUGACAAAGCAAUUUCAAUGGAGUAGGUCAACAAUCAUCUACCCCUGGAAGUUUCUGCCUUCUCAGCGUCAUCAUCCUGAACCCUUUCUCUAUGCUUCUAUGGUAGGCACAAUCCUAAUAUGAUCCCACAAGAUUUUCUGCCUAAUUCCCAGGACUGUGAAUAUGAUAAGAAUUCAUUCAGAUUAUGUUAAUUAAUAUAAGUAAUUUUGCAGAUGUAGUUAAAGUUACUAAUUAGUUGACUGUGAGUUAAUAAAAGAAGAGAUUAUCUAGGUGGGACAUAAUCCAGUCACAUGAGCCCUUUAAAUAGCAAAGAGUUCUCUCUUGCUGGUGGCAGAAGAGGAAGUCAGUGAGAGUCCAAGAAUGGGAAGGAUUCAAAGCAUCAUUGCUGACUUAAAGAAAUGGCAUGGGACCACAUGAUAAAGAACAGGGCGGGCCUCUAGAAGCCAGAGUGACCCCCAGCUGACAGCCAACAAGGAAACAAAAACCUCAGGCCUACUGUACCACCACAAGGGACUAGAUCCUGCGAGAAACUUGAAUGAGCUGGGAAGUGGAUUCUCUCCCAGACCUUCCAGAUAAGAGCCCAGACUGUCUGAUACCUUGAUUUUUGGCCUUGUGAGACCCUAAGAAGACACUUCAAUCAAGCUUGCUGAGACAUAUAACUUACAGAACUCCAAGAUAGUACAUCGUGCUGUUUUAAGGUGCUCAGUUUCUGGUGAUUUGUCACAAAGCAAUCAAAGACCAGUUCAACUCCAUAGCUUCAUAAUUAUGUUGACUCUUUUGUACUUUAUGCUUAUAGUGGGUGCUUGCUUCCCAAUUAGUUUGUGAGCUUUUUAGGAUAGAAAAUAUGUGUUAAGUGACGUUUGUAUUCCCGGCAUGUAUUAAUAACACAGUACUUGGCCCAACACAUUUGAGGGGGAUUACUGUCAAUUGAGUCCAUGGGAAGAAAACAUUGAGAUAGAGUUUUGAUUGGAGUGCAAGGAGUUCAUGGGGGGCAGGGAGGACAGAGGUAACAUCCGUGAAAGAUAAAAAGCAGAAGAAGCUGAACUGACCAUUGAAAGCUUCCAGCCUGUAAUACAGAUCUACAACCCAGAGCAAUGAAUCUGGAGCUCCAGAACAAUGAGUACCCAUGAGAGGAGUCCCAUGUUGGGCAGAAAUGGCCAGGUCUAGAGUAUCCCCAUCCAGUAAUUGGCUGGGGGCUGCCCAGAAAGAUCAUUGUCUUGGCUUGAAAGCUGAGGUGAAUCCUGAAGGUGCUAACAGCUGGAAGCUGUCAGCUAACUGCACUUCUUUCAGGUGAAUAUGCAAGUUCUUCCUGGAAGAAAAAUCUAAGCAGCACACAUCGACAGCCGCCACUGUAAAAAACAUCACUAUCUCUUAGGAACAUAAUGUAAGCUCUAUUCAUCAAAGACGAACUAUAAUGUUUUCUUCCAGAAAGAAUACAAUGAAGAAAAGACUCCAAAAUGAUAAUAUCAUGCCUCUAAAAUUUAGUUAAGAAUCUCACUAUUUUACAGCAAAAGUUGUAAUGAUUAUACAAGCUUUGAUAUUGAUGGUUGUGUUUCUUCCAAAGCAGAGAAUUAUUAGUCAAUUAUAACUUUCUCAAGGUUUUGGCAAAGAAAAAUAUUUUUACCUCAAGGGCGUAUGUUCAGCAUAGUGAAAAAUGUGUUUUAGUAAACACCAAUGAUUACUUUUAAAAGAGUUUGGUUUUCUUAGUGUCAUUCAAAUGAAAAUUUAAAAAGAAAACCCUAUUUUCUUAGAUUGCUCUGUCUGAAUUCAUGUGUCUUUGUUCUUGAGGCUGUAUUUCUCAUUUAUUUUAACAACUCUAUGUGGAAUUGAAUAGGUGUGAAUUCUGAGCAAAACUAUUCAAAGCUUCCAUUAUCAUUUCACAAGUGUCACAAAUAAUUAUAAGUUGUUCUUUCAUUUUUAAAGGAGAAGUUUGGCAAUGUACUAAAGGAAGCAUUAUCUUCAAAGAUUGCUGCCAAAACUUGUUCUUUGAUGACUCUCAUAUUUGAGAGUAUUGACAACAUAUCACUGGAAAAUAUGAUAACUAAGGAUACAUUUUCCCCAAACCUCCUAUAUUGUUUUAUGCAUGUGAAUGUAAAAAUUCCCACUACAGAUUGUUCCCAGAAAUAUAGUGUUAGACUGAAUUAUAACAAAUGACAUUUUCACAAUCAUGAGCCUGAAUGAGACUUAAUGUCUUCUGAUGUCUUUAGUGAUAUUGGUUUCCUGCCACCAACAUCUCCCAAACCAACUUCUGGC
rnacentral:lncRNA from 10 species